rnacentral:rRNA from 1 species
GUGGGGAAUCUUAGACAAUGGGCGCAAGCCUGAUCUAGCCAUGCCGCGUGAGCGAUGAAGGCCUUAGGGUUGUAAAGCUCUUUCAGGGGGGAAGAUAAUGACGGUACCCCCAGAAGAAGCCCCGGCUAACUCCGUGCCAGCAGCCGCGGUAAUACGGAGGGGGCUAGCGUUGUUCGGAAUUACUGGGCGUAAAGCGCACGUAGGCGGACCUGAAAGUCAGGGGUGAAAUCCCGGGGCUCAACCCCGGAACUGCCUUUGAAACUCCUGGUCUUGAGGUCGAGAGAGGUGAGUGGAAUUCCGAGUGUAGAGGUGAAAUUCGUAGAUAUUCGGAGGAACACCAGUGGCGAAGGCGGCUCACUGGCUCGAUACUGACGCUGAGGUGCGAAAGCGUGGGGAGCAAACAGGAUUAGAAACCCGGGUAGUCC